rnacentral:lncRNA from 1 species
CUUUCUGAAACCUUUAGGUUUUUGUUGUUUUUGGUUUUGUCUUUUUUUUUUAAGGAUGUGAGCUUUUGAUUAUGGAGAUUAUGUUUCUGUGUAUGUUUCUGCAGUGUCAGACCCAGCGGAGAUAAAUCCUGAUCUGAACCUCAGAAUUCUUUAUGUCAAGAGUAUAUGCUCGAACAAAUGCAAUGAAUAGCUGCUGUUGACUCUCAGUAAGACCUCCUAAUUCUGUUCAGUUGAAGACAUUUUAUGUGAUGCAUUAGUGUCAAUUUACCACACAACUGGCUUCUCAGACCAACGUCCCAAGACCACUACAGAGUGGAAUUCAGUACUCUGGCUACAUGUAGUGAAUUUCUGCAUUUUUUUGCAUUUCUCUGCUUCUGCCAGCUAUGUGUGUACAUAAACAGGAAUAUCGCAGAGUUACAGGAUCACAGAACAGUUGAGAUUGGAAGGGACCUCUGGAGAUCAUCUAGUCCAACCCCCCUGCUCAAGCAGGGUCCUCUAGAGCACAUUGCCCAGGAUUGCGUUCAGGCGGGUUUUGAAUAUCUCCAGCGAAGGAGACUCCACAACCUCUCUGGGCAACCUGUGCCAGCGCUCUGUCACCCUCACAGGAAAGAAAUUUUUCCUCAUGUUCAGACAGAACUGCCUGUGUUUCAGUUUAUGCCCGUCGCCUCUUGUCCUGUCUCUGGGCACCCCGGAAAAUAUAUACAGCAUUUAAACGUCUUAUUAAUUUUAUUAUCCAAAGUUUUGCUAUUCAUUGUGAAAAACAUUUAAAUUUAUUAGGAUUAUCUUGUAUGCUAGAGUAUGUACUUCUGUGACCUUUGUUUUGCCUGCUACCUUAAUAUUUUUAAAAACUCUCUGUUUUAUUAACUCAUAGAGGCUUUUAACAAAAUAUUAAAAUAUUAAAUGUGAAUGAAAUAUAAAUGGAAAGGUGAAUGUGUGCAACCAGCAGAAGAAAUAGAAAAAUAGUUGAAAGAAUGGUCUGGGUUAAUGGAGGAUACUAUUACCAUUCUAUCAAUUUGAGGCUUGCAUGUUUUUAAUCAGUUCAGCAAAGCUUGCACUUUGAUAAAACCAGCACAGUUGUCUUAUUGGGGCAACACUCUGCUUUUCAACAACAGAAGAAUGGCAA